rnacentral:rRNA from 1 species
GAUGAACGCUGGCGGCGUGCCUAAUACAUGCAAGUCGAGCGAACGGACGAGAAGCUUGCUUCUCUGAUGUUAGCGGCGGACGGGUGAGUAACACGUGGAUAACCUACCUAUAAGACUGGGAUAACUUCGGGAAACCGGAGCUAAUACCGGAUAAUAUUUUGAACCGCAUGGUUCAAAAGUGAAAGACGGUCUUGCUGUCACUUAUAGAUGGAUCCGCGCUGCAUUAGCUAGUUGGUAAGGUAACGGCCUACCAAGGCAACGAUGCAUAGCCGACCUGAGAGGGUGAUCGGCCACACUGGAACUGAGACACGGUCCAGACUCCUACGGGAGGCAGCAGUAGGGAAUCUUCCGCAAUGGGCGAAAGCCCGACGGAGCAACGCCGCGUGAGUGAUGAAGGUCUUCGGAUCGUAAAACUCUGUUAUUAGGGAAGAACAUAUGUGUAAGUAACUGUGCACAUCUUGACGGUACCUAAUCAGAAAGCCACGGCUAACUACGUG